GACGUAGGGCGCGAGCGUUGUCCGGAUUUAUUGGGCGUAAAGAGCGUGUAGGCGGUUUGGUAGGUCCGCUGUGAAAACUCGAGGCUCAACCUCGAGACGCCGGUGGAAACCAUCAGGCUAGAGUCCGGAAGAGGAGAGUGGAAUUCCUGGUGUAGCGGUGAAAUGCGCAGAUAUCGGGAAGAACACCCGUGGCGAAGGCGGCCGGCUGGGGGCGCCCUGACGCUGAGGCGCGAGAGCGUGGGGAGCAAACCGG
rnacentral:rRNA from 1 species